UACAGAGGGGGCGAGCGUUGUUCGGAAUUAUUGGGCGUAAAGAGCUCGUAGGCGGUUUGUCGCGUCGAAUGUGAAAACCCGGGGCUCAACCCCGGGCCUGCAUUCGAUACGGGCAGACUAGAGUUCGGUAGGGGAGUCUGGAAUUCCUGGUGUAGCGGUGAAAUGCGCAGAUAUCAGGAGGAACACCGGUGGCGAAGGCGGGACUCUGGGCCGAUACUGACGCUGAGGAGCGAAAGCGUGGGGAGCAAACAGG
rnacentral:rRNA from 1 species